rnacentral:misc_RNA from 1 species
AUAUAUCAACCUCUUCAGCUUUUGGUUGUUGAGUGUUUGGAUGUGGGGGAUUGUUUGCUGGUCUCUAGGAGGUCAGCUCCCCUAAAAUGCAUUAGCGAAACAAUUUGUUGAUCGUUCAUUGGUGUGAUAACUAUCUACGCUAUUGACGUGAGGCAGUUUAGCUUCUAACAGUCCAUUGACUUGGACAAUCUUUUCAUUA